rnacentral:rRNA from 1 species
AUUGAACGCUGGCGGCAGGCUUAACACAUGCAAGUCGAGCGGAGAGAGGUAGCUUGCUACUGAUCUUAGCGGCGGACGGGUGAGUAAUGCUUAGGAAUCUGCCUAUUAGUGGGGGACAACAUUUCGAAAGGAAUGCUAAUACCGCAUACGUCCUACGGGAGAAAGCAGGGGAUCUUCGGACCUUGCGCUAAUAGAUGAGCCUAAGUCGGAUUAGCUAGUUGGUGGGGUAAAGGCCUACCAAGGCGACGAUCUGUAGCGGGUCUGAGAGGCUGAUCCGCCACACGGGGACUGAGACACGGCCCAGACGCCUACGGGAGGCAGCAGUGGGGGAUAUUAGACAAUGGGCGGAAGCCUGAGCCAGCCAUGCCGCGUGUGUGAAGAAGGCCUUAUGGUUGUAAAGCACUUUAAGCGAGGAGGAGGCUCUUUUGGUUAAUACCCAAGAUGAGUGGACGUUACUCGCAGAAUAAGCACCGGCUAACUCUGUGCCAGCAGCCGCCGUAA